UGGAUAACCUCGGGAAACUGAGGAUAAACCGCGAUAGGCCAUGAUUUCUGGAAUGGUUCAUGGCUAAAAUCUAUAUGGCCUCUGGAUUGGACUGCGGCCGAUCAGGCUGUUGGUGAGGUAAUGGCCCACCAAACCUAUAACCGGUACGGGCUCUGAGAGGAGGAGCCCGGAGAUGGGCACUGAGACAAGGGCCCAGGCCCUAUGGGGCGCAGCAGGCGCGAAAUCUCUGCAAUAGGCGAAAGCUUGACAGGGUUACUCUGAGUGAUUCCCGCUAAGGGGAUCUUUUGGCACCUCUAAAAAUGGUGCAGAAUAAGGGGUGGGCAAGUCUGGUGUCAGCCGCCGCGGUAAUACCAGCACCCCGAGUGGUCGGGACGAUUAUUGGGCCUAAAGCAUCCGUAGCCGGUACUGCAAGUCUUCCGUUAAAUCCACCUGCUCAACAGUUGGGCUGCGGGGGAUACUACAGCGCUAGGAGGCGGGAGAGGCAAGCGGUACUUAAUGGGUAGGGGUAAAAUCCACUGAGCCAUUGAAGACCACCAGUGGCGAAGGCGGCUUGCCAGAACGCGCUCGACGGUGAGGGAUGAAAGCUGGGGGAGCAAACCGGAUUAGAUACCCGGGUAGUCCCAGCUGUAAACGAUGCAGACUCGGUGAUGGGCUGGCCUUGUGCCAACCCAGUGCCGCAGGGAAGCCGUUAAGUCUGCCGCCUGGGGAGU
rnacentral:rRNA from 1 species